rnacentral:misc_RNA from 1 species
UACCGAGUUCAUGCCCUUACGGGUAGACCUCCCACCCUAUGUUAUAUUACCUUUGUUGCUUUGGCGGGCCGCCCGGCUUCGGCCAGGCUACCGGCUCCAGCUGGUAAGCGCUCGCCAGAGGACCCUCAACUCUGAAUAUCAGUGUCGUCCGAGUACUAUAAAAUAGUUAAAACUUUCAACAACGGAUCUCUUGGUUCUGGCAUCGAUGAAGAACGCAGCGAAAUGCGAUAAGUAAUGUGAAUUGCAGAAUUCAGUGAAUCAUCGAAUCUUUGAACGCACCUUGCGCCCUUUGGCUAUUCCGAAGGGCAUGCCUGUUUGAGUAUCAUGAACACCUCAACUCUCGUGGUUUGCCAUGAUGAGCUUGGACUCUGGGGGUCUUGCUGGCCUUAUGGUCAGCUCCUCUCAAAUGAAUCAGCUUCCCAGUGUUUGGUGGCAUCACAGGUGUGAUAACUAUCUACGCUUGUGGUGUCCUCCCAGGUAACCUUCAGCGAUGGAGGUCACUGGAGCUAAUAAAUGCACAUCUCUCAUCGUAGAGACGGCUUUUUAGAUGUUUG